rnacentral:rRNA from 1 species
UACGAAGGGUGCAAACGUUGCUCGGAAUUACUGGGCGUAAAGCGUGCGCAGGCGGUUUUGUAAGCCAGAUGUGAAAUCCCCGGGCUCAACCUGGGAAUGGCAUUUGGGACUGCAAGGCUGGAGUACGGCAGAGGAGACUGGAAUUCCUGGUGUAGCAGUGAAAUGCGUAGAUAUCAGGAGGAAUACCGAUGGCGAAGGCAGGUCUCUGGGCUGAUACUGACGCUCAUGCACGAAAGCGUGGGGAGCAAACAGG